rnacentral:rRNA from 1 species
UACGUAGGGUGCAAGCGUUAAUCGGAAUUACUGGGCGUAAAGCGUGCGCAGGCGGUUUUGUAAGUCUGUCGUGAAAUCCCCCGGGCUUAACCUGGGAAUGGCGAUGGAGACUGCAAGGCUAGAAUCUGGCAGAGGGGGGUAGAAUUCCACGUGUAGCAGUGAAAUGCGUAGAGAUGUGGAGGAACACCGAUGGCGAAGGCAGCCCCCUGGGCUAAGAUUGACGCUCAUGCACGAAAGCGUGGGGAGCAAACAGG